GACGAACCGUGCGAACGUUGUUCGGAAUCACUGGGCUUAAAGGGCGCGUAGGCGGCCGCGUAAGUCCGGGGUGAAAUCCCCCAGCCCAACUGGGGAAGUGCCUUGGAUACUGCGUGCUCGAGCGGGGUAGGGGCAUGUGGAACUUCCGGUGGAGCGGUGAAAUGCGUAGAAUAUCGGAAGGAACGCCGGUGGCGAAAGCGACGUGCUGGACCCCCCUGACGCUGAGGCGCCGAAAGCCAGGGGAGCGAACGGG
rnacentral:rRNA from 1 species